rnacentral:lncRNA from 1 species
UAUAGUUUAAUGUGAUAUUAUAGCAUAGAAUUUUUUUUGUUUUGUUUUCUGUAGACAUUGUUCAAUUUUAUUUUGUUAUAUUUUUGAAAUGUUAUAAAUAUUAAUAAAUUUAAAAGUUUUAAAUGAAGCUGAAAAUAUCUCUUAUCUCCAUUUUUUGGGUAAAAAUUCGAAAACUGGUUUUGUAGAAAAAUUGAGAUUUGAAAACCGUUUUUUUUUCUUUUGUUUUAAAUGUCUGUUUUUGUAUAAACCUUAAAUAUCACACCAUUCAUCUAACCCAUGGACCAGAAUGACAUUUCAAAUUUCAAGAAACUAUGCAAAAGCAAUGUUUCAAAGGUGUUUUGAGGGGACAUCAGAUACAGAAUUGUCCUUAAGAGAGUUCUGGAAAAAACAUUUCAACAUUCUCAACUGCACUAUACUCAUAGAUAAGGCUUGGCAGGGAGUGACAUCCAGGAUGUCACUCCCUGCCAAGAACUCUGUCUGGAAGAAAUUAUGGCCAGAAUGUGUGCAUGAAAGAGAUUUUGAAGGAUUGAGCCUUCACCUGAUGACCCUGCACAUGUGAUGCAGUCAAUUGUUGAUCUGGGGAAGUCCAUGGGGUUGGAGGCAAGUGGUGAGGCUGUUGAUGACUAAACUUAUCAUAAUAUUUUUUUCUCAAACCAGGGCAAUUUUGAGAAAAUACACACAAUAGAAAAUAAAACCUACUAGGAUAAGUACCCAUGAUUGAAAAACUUAAAUAAAGUUGUUAACAAAAAACGAGUUAAAGCAAUUUUUAAUAACUCAACUUCUUAAUAGUAAGGUAUAUUCAGUUAUUAAUAAUUAUUACUAGUGUAAACUUUAUUUAAAAUUCUUUGUCACUUAAAUCAGUACCAUUAAAAUAUGACAAUAUAUUUGAGGAAGUUCCUUCUGCUGCUACUAGGCUUGCCUUAUGUUUCACACAUUUUAAGUGAUUUUAAUGUCUGAACGUCCACCAUGAGUUACUGAAAAUUUUGAAAAGCACAGUUCACAUUUCACUUUGUCAUUACAAUCACAAACUUUUUCAAAAAUGGAUAAUCCUUUUUUAAUUCAUCAGUAAAUACAUGAUUUCUUUUUGGCAUUUUUGAGAUUAAAUUAAUUUAAUGCACAGCACAAAAUAAUUUCAAAUGCCGACUGGCAAUUUAAACUUGACUAAGGUAGGACACGUGGAACAAUGAUGUGGCCAGUGUAACUUUCAGUGUUGCCAACUCUAAUUGAAACAAAAUAUCUAAAAAACAAAAUUGAAACAUCUGGAUCUCAUAGGCUAUGUGCUAUUAUAAAUUCUGUGAAAAAAUAGCUAGAUGAAAAAAUAAAACAUCUAAAUUCAUUAGGCCACAUGCUAUGGAUUUUGAGUGAAAACAUCUAGACAUUAAUUAAAAGUACUUAGAUCUAGAUACAAAAUAUUUAUAUUGGCAACAGUGAGAGUAACAGAGGGGAUAUUUUAGUUGCCAAAUUGCUAUUUUAUCCGAUUCUGCACUAUUUUUACUUUUUGUAUAUUCAGCACUUAAAAUUUUACCAAAUAACUAGGACAAAAUGACAAACUGGCCAGGACGCAGGGACCACAUCAUCAAACCAAGACAGUCCCAGUCAAAGUGGGACAUCUGAUAAGCCUAUGGAUGAACCACAGUGAAGAAGUCAGCAUUGAAGAGCUGCAAAACCUUCACCUAAAGUACAGCAGACAGCAGGUGAAGUUGCUUCAGAUGAGGAGGAAGAGAUUGGAGAAUGUGUGUUCUUCAGAGAUUAAGGACAUCUCCAUGUGGUGUAAGGUACAGGGGUUUGUGGAGAAAAAUAACCCAGACAAAGCUGUUGGGUCGUGUCUGCAACUUGUUUAAUGAUAAUGUUUUGCCCCAUUUUAGACAAAUCUUAAAAGGGCAGCAGAAACAGACUUCUUUGGACAGCUUUCUUGUGUGACAUGGAUCCAUUGACUCAGAAACUGGUCCUAGUGUCAAAAGACCAAGAAGAAAAGUGACCGUAGAUAGUGCCUUGAUACCUAAGGUCCUUAUGGAGAGGGAUUUCCGUUCUAAACAAUGAUAUCUGCACCUCUCUCCCCUCCUUGCAGACUUCCAUACACCAAGAAGAGUCUUCAGAAAGGCUGCAGGACAAAUUAACAACACUGGGAAGAAGCUACCCUGAUAAUAUGUAAGAGUCUUAACCAGCAAACUAGAGGUCUCUGUGUUUUUACUUGGAGGAGUGAGCAUAGCAUGAGCAAGGAUAGGACAAUUCCACAAGGAAGCUUGAGAAUGGAGUAAAUUUGUUCUUUUCAUUUUCAUCUAAGAUGAAUUAGAAAAAGGAAAGUAGAAUCUUAGAUAUCAUUGGAAAGAAGACCAAGAACAAAUUUCACAAUCACUGAAAUGAAGAGCUUCCAAAAGAAUAUUUCAAAGGAUGUGCUACUAUAUGACUUCAAGGACUAACAGAAACAAUAGCAGAAGUGCAAUAAAUUCCGUGGAGAAUAAGAGGGUGGUCCUGGUGGACCAGGAGGUCCAGGAACUGGAAUAAAACCACCACUGAUUCCUCCAGUAGAUUCUCCAGGUUCACCCUAACAAAUAUAUAAGUAUGGAAAGGUCCGGGAUAACCUGGAGGUCCUCUUUCUCCUGGUGGUCCUGCUGGUCCUCUUUCACCAGGUUCACCUUUCGGUCCUAUCAUGGAACAAGUUUAUCACAAACAAUAAUUUAUGAGGAAUUUGGUUUAAAAAAUGUAAAUUUAUAAUUAUUUUAUUAAGUAUACAAAAGAACUUCUAGGAGAAUUUAACAAUAUGUAAAAGUUUACAGGUUAAAUUAUUAAAAUUACAAAUAUUAUAUAUUAAUUUUAUUACUACUACUACUACCAUGAUUUCCUACAGAUAAUUCAAGGGCUCUCUUUAUUUGAAAGCAAGUACUGUACAUGUUAUGUGAUGUAAACAGUGUGGUGGAGUUGUGUUAAAAGUUAAGAAUGUAUAAUGAUACAUUCUUUCUUAACUUUUAACUGAAAAUUGUGUUUAAUAAAUUAACAAAUACAGAAAGAACAGCACAAGCCUACUGAACAUUGCUGAACAUGGUCAACUAAGUGCAGGAAGAUCUUGCACCCCCUGGCAGUUGAGAGGCAUGCAGUACAAAAUUCACACUCCUUGACAUACACCCCUCAUUUUGAUGUCUCUUGAGAUGUUGAAAUGUAGUUCUAUGUUUCAGACAUUUAUAGUACUUAGUAUGUAAAGACAUUCUGUACAUAUACACUAUAUCUAAUCAGUAACAUAACAUCAAACUUCUGAAUUUGACAAACUUCUCUUUUCCCAAAGCUUUCGUAAAACAAAGUGUAAGAUGUCUUGUACAACUUAAGUAUCAAAGAAUUCUUUUACCUGUCUUCCAUAACUGAUCUGUUGGCCUGUCUAGAUAUCUACUAAGAUACAACACACUGUAUGCAAUAUCCAGUCUGCUUGUAACAGAAAUGUACAUAGGACUGCACACCAAUCUGCAAAAUGGAAUUUCUUCACUCAAAUUGGAUUCUUCUAAAUGGAAAUUUGUUUCCAUAGGUGUGGCAACUUCACAACACUGUUCCAUAUUAAAUAUAGUUGAGAUACGGGUAAUUAUUUUGAAAUGACUGAUUUUUAAUUCCUUUUCAUCUCAAUCAAAUUGCAUUCCUAAGAAUGACGAGACUUCUCCCAAAUCUCUGACAUUGAUCUCUUUGUGCAGAUCAUUCAUUAAUUUGUCAAUCUCUGCAUCUUAAUCUGUGAUGAUCGCAUUGUCAACAAAAAUAAUCAAGUAGGCACCAUUACCUAUAUACAAACAGAAGUCAUACUUUGACCUACAAAAAUCUAAUUUUUCCAUGGCUUUGUUAAACUUGAGAAAUGCACCAAAAUAUUGGAAUGACAAGCCGUACAGUGCCCUAUUCAAUUUCAAUGUCCUUUUUUUAAUAUUUAAACCCUUCUGGUAUAUUGAUGUAUAUAUCUUUUUCUAGAUUUCAAUUUAGAAAGGCAGUUGGGACAUCUAACUGAUGUAGCUUCCAGCUGUGCUGUACUGCCACUGGGAGUGAAAUUCUAAUGUAGACAGCCUACAGACUGGCAGGUAGCUAAAUUCUCUUCUUCAUAAGGUACUUGGAAUCCUCUUGUCACUAAUCUGGCCUUCCUUGUUCCAUUGUCUUUGAUUUUAAAUAUCCAUUUUGUGUCUAUAGCUGUUGCCUUCUGGCAAAUCUACAAGUGUCCACGUUUGAAGUUUCUGAUGAGAGUGUAAUUCUUUCUCUAUAGCUUUCUUCCACUCUGGUAACUCGCAUGCGUCCUGGUACAUUUUAGGCCAGGUAUGGCCAACAUACGGCCCGCAGGCCAGACCCGGCCUGUCUAAUGAAUUUAUGUGGCCCAUGAUCAAUCUUUCAAUAUUA